ensembl:lncRNA
AGUCUUGUAACCUGUCUUCAAACUCCCUUAUCAAAAUGGAAAGCAAGGUUGUAUAUUAUUCACUGUCCACAGGACUGUGUUUAGCCAGUGCAUCAAAAUGCAUAAAAUUAUUUUCCUUAACUUGAGCUAGCUCUGCACUCUGCCCUCCUCAUGUCACAGUUUCAAUCCAGACAGUGCUGACAAAAUACGAGAAUGACACAAAGCUAUAGCAGGGAAGGUUCAGACUGUACAUUGGGAAAAAAUUAUUUAAUGUAAGGGUGGUCAAAAACUGGAACAGGCUUCCUAGAGAGCUUGUUGAUGCCCCAGGCUUGUCAGCGUUCAAGAGGCAUGUGAAUAAUGCCCUCAGUAGCAUGCUUUAACUUUUGGUUAGUCCUGAAGUGAUCAAGUAGUUCGACUGGAUGAUUGCUGAACGUCCCAUCCAAAUGAACUAUUUUAUUCUAAAUAUGAGAACAAGAAGGGGGCAAGGCAAGGCUCAUUGCUGCUCCAGGUGAGUUUUGCAGAAAUCAAGCAUGCUCUGUCACUGAAUGAUCUGGGACCCUGAAGAAAGGUUCCUAUCAUUUCUCACGGUUGCUAUGAGAAGGGGGCAAAUCGUUGUUGAAGAAAUGGUUGCUUCAGGUUCUGCUUAAGAUUCUACAACUGAGGACAGGCAUCUAAGUAAUCUAUCAAUGAUUCCCUCUUCUAGUAUAUCUUCUUCCCCUCAAGGAAAUUAGCAGACUGAAGGCUAGUUCCUUUUCCUCAUCCAUGAGAGUCUCUUCAUUCAAAGUCAGUCCUAUAGGGAGAGGACACUUAAGGAACUGUGAGUUGCAAGCAUAUAUUGUCUAUGGUGAAUAGAAGCAGAGCCAAGGUGAAGAAAACUCAGAGAAAAAAAAGAUAACAUUUCCAGCUCUACAGGAAAUAGUUACCAAAAUGUCAUUUAGAAAAAUUGCCAAGGCUCCAGAGGCUCAUCUGUAGCCCCGUGCUGUGAUGUUCUUGGCCUGUUUUUACCAGGAAACUUUGCCAUGGAGCUACACACAAACCUACUCGUGAUUACGAUAUACACUGAGCUCCAAAGUGCAGCAAACUCUCUUCAGGUGCGUGUUCUUGCCCUGGGAGAAGGGAGGACUGCAGAGAGAACCAGAGGCCAUGCUGCAGUGUAAAACAGACCUCUCUUGAAUUGUUCAGGUUUUCCCUCCCUCACCUCUGGGCACACUGCUGGCUUUUGUUCAGGCAACUGUCAACUAACAUUCCCAGACCCUUUUUAGCCACUCUGCCUCAAGCCUGUAGCACUGCAUGGGGAUUAGCAAUCAAAGUGCAGGUCCUGGCACUUGAUCUUGUUGAAGCUCAUUCCAUUGGCCUCAGACCAUCGACCCAGCCUAUCCAGAUCCCCCUGCACGGCCUUUGUACCCUCAGGCAGAUCA